rnacentral:rRNA from 1 species
GACGAACGCUGGCGGCGUGCCUAAUACAUGCAAGUCGAACGAGAGCGACCGGUGCUUGCACUGGUCAAUCUAGUGGCGAACGGGUGAGUAACACGUGGGUAACCUGCCCAUCAGAGGGGGAUAACAUCCGGAAACGGAUGCUAAAACCGCAUAGGUCUUCGAACCGCAUGGUUUGAAGAGGAAAAGAGGCGCAAGCUUCUGCUGAUGGAUGGACCCGCGGUGCAUUAGCUAGUUGGUGAGGUAACGGCUCACCAAGGCCGUGAUGCAUAGCCGACCUGAGAGGGUGAUCGGCCACAUUGGGACUGAGACACGGCCCAAACUCCUACGGGAGGCAGCAGUAGGGAAUCUUCCGCAAUGGACGCAAGUCUGACGGAGCAACGCCGCGUGAGUGAAGAAGGUUUUCGGAUCGUAAAACUCUGUUGUUAGAGAAGAACAAGUGCUAGAGUAACUGUUAGCGCCU